rnacentral:rRNA from 1 species
UACAUGGGGGUGCAAACGUUGCUCGGAAUUAUUGGGCGUAAAGCGCACGUAGGCGGUUCGUUAAGUCGGAUGUGAAAGCCCUCGGCUCAACUGAGGAAGUGCACCCGAAACUGGCGAGCUUGAGUACGAAAGAGGAUCGCGGAAUUCCCGGUGUAGAGGUGAAAUUCGUAGAUAUUCGGAAGAACACCAGUGGCGAAGGGCGGCUCACUGGACUGGUAUUGACGCUGAGGUACGGAAAGCGUGGGGAGCAAACAGG